GGGCAGAGGCGGAUCCAAAAUAAUAAUUACGGUAUCCGUGCUCUUGUCUAAAUUAUAUAUCUGUAUUGAAAAAUUUAUUAGAAUAUUUACUUUGUAACCUAAUUCAUCGAUUCAGUUAUUAUUAUUUAUUAACUUCACAUUGUUUAGCAACCCAUAAACUAAAAAUUGUGUAUGCGCGGACGAUCAUUUUUGAGUUUUUGAAGAUUCAUCACUUGGGUUAAGAGGGUUCUCCAUCUCAUCCAAAGAUGGCGGGUAUUAUUUCCCCAAUCCAAAAUUAUAAGGGGUUAACUGGAAUUUACUUUCUAAGUUUCCUCAAUCUCAAAUCUUCCAUGUAACCGGUGGGUAACUCCCAAAAAAGGAAAAAUUUACCGUGGAAGAAAUCGGCGAUCAAUUUCCGAUUAAUCCUUCUCAGGUUAAAUUUCGUCGAUGAAACGGCAAUGGGUGAUACUGGUAUUUUCCGGUUUUACGGGUUCGGCGAGUGAUUUAUUGAGCUCGCCGAGUAGUUCAUUUGGGAGAAUUACCGACUAGGUUAAUGUAGCUCCGGCGAGGAGGUCUCUCUUAUCAAAUUCAAGGUUAGUUUGUAGUCUUCAGAUUUUGAAAAUAUUACAUUGUAAUGGCUGGUAAUUUUUUUAUUUAGUAAUUUGUGCAAAUGCAUAGGGAUAUACGGAGCUUUUCCUAAAAUUCUCAGCAAGUCCGUCCAUUUAUUAAGAUUUAGAAAUGAGGCAAGGCUUAUGCUUUAUUAUUACUGCUAUUGGAGGAUUUUUCUUCUUCUUCCAAAUGGCUGGACUGGGGAAGUCUGGAGGGCAAAGUUCAUGGGCUUAAUUGGAAUGAUACAGAACUGCUUUUGUUGCAAGUACCUGGAACCUUUCCAAUUUCAAGGCACUCUUUCAUAAAAAAGAUGAAAAAUUAUAUUUUGGAGCUUUUGCACCUAUGAACUUGUAAAAAAAAAAAUCAAUAAAUCGUAUCCUUACUUGUAAAAGUGAAUAUUCCUGAGCCAUAGGUAGAUCUGAUCAUAUCAGCCAAGAGAGGAAAUUGCAGAAAUGCAAAUAAAGUUAUAGGAAUACUAGCAAGUACUGCCACUGGGGUGAUAAUCCAGGCCAUUUGAUGCCCAAGUACGAUGAAAAAACUUGAACUAAAUGCUACUAGCAUCGCUGCUAUAGCAACAAAGAGCGCGAUGAAGCCAAGGAUUAACCUUUUUGGUAAAGUACUCAGGAAGUCUUCUUCGGCAUAGCGUGAAGUGAGGAUGGACAAGAACAUCAAUAUUGAGGUUACUGAAGAAAACAGUGCCAGUGCAUCCGUUAUAGAGAAAAGAAUGAAUGUUUUCUCUUUAAGAAAAAUGGGGGUGCCUGUAUCAUCGUUGUUUCCUCCUGGCACGGUAAAGAUUGCUGCAAACAUUACUGUUGUAAUUAGUGCAGCAACAAGCAUGCAAGAUGAUGCAGUUUCCUUCAUCCACUUCUCUCCUUCUUUGACCAAUUCCUUGUGUUCUUCAGCGAACAACAUUCCAGGUGUUCGACCUUUUAAGUCUCUCAUCUCCUUAUACGAGGCUUGAACAAUUGUCUUAACUUCCUUUGGAAAUGAGAAGAAGUAAUAUCUUAUGAAAUAUAGAAAGAGAGUAUGCGUGAUAGGGAAGCAGCAUUUCACCAGAUGUGGAAAUUACCUUAAACCACAAUAACUCCCGCUGCAUCUGGAGUGCUGCACCUGAAACAAUACCAAGUCGAUUUGUAGGAGCCAACUUUGCUGCCAAGUGUAAAAUGUUCUCAUUAUUUCUACUUUUAUAGGACGUAAUUAUAUCCUUGUGUGCUCCUAUGUUGUAGAUAAGUUUGUAGAUCUUUUCUUGGCGGUGAAUGACUGCAAUGUGAAAGAUGCUCCGGCUUUCCUCAUCAACCUUCCAAAUGAGAUCUGGAUAAGACUGAAUAAGCUCAACUAUGAACUUAAAAUUUCCCAACUCUGCUGCUACAAACAAUGGCCGCGACGGACUUCUAAGUAAGUUCCCUAUUUGUGAAUCAUUCAACAAGAGAACUUCUUUCCAUGAACAUUUUACCAAUUCAAGUGCUUGUAAGUGCAUUAAUUUUGUCUCCAGAACUUCUUUGACUCCUAGUGUUGAAAAUUUGCAGAUUAGGUAUUUAGUUUUACAGGUACAGAGAAUAAUAAUCUAGAACUUGGGACCACGUCAUAUGUGCCAUACCUAAUGUUUUUAGUAGAUGCUGAAUGAACGCGUAAGCUGCAACUUCACAAAUGUUUAGGAUCAGUUGGUUAUAGAAAUGCUAUUACAGAGAAGAUAAAUGUCUCAACUGGGACAAGUAUACAACAUACCCUUAGUGUUAUUUUUUAUCCUUGAUCCGCUGGACAUGUUGCUUGAUCUAUUCUGCAAAUGAACAGAGACAUCUAUAGGAAGUUCCAUUAAUUUUUUUUUUUGGGAUCAGGCAGGAUGUUCCAUUGAUCUAAUGAUAUAUAUAAAUAUAUAUCUUAAUUCAUUUCGAUUUGGAUAGAAAUGGAGAACUUACAUGCGUAAAGAAAUCUUUGCCAGAUUCCAAGUUCAAUUUUGUCAGAAAAUGCCAAGGGCUUUCGUGCUAAAACAUGAAGUAUUGUGUCUCCAUUUUGAUCUCGUUCAAUGCCUAAUUCAGGCAUGUGCUGAAGUAUAUGUAAAGCAACAUCUGUUCACAGCGAUGUAAGUAAAUAGCUGUUUUAAGUUCCUCUGAGAGUUCAACUUUACGUUGGUUGUGCAAUAACAUAAAUGGCAACACUAAUUUAUCGAAACAAGUAACUGGCCAUAUUAAAUUUAUCAAGU
rnacentral:lncRNA from 1 species